AAUUUCUUACAAUUCAAAACUCCUUUUGAAAUUGCAGAGCCAGUCUUUAUAAUUGGAUUCGAUCAAAUGGUUGUUCUCUAGGACAUGGGUUAAGAGUUUAGAAGCUAAAUUUAUAACCUUAGAGAGUAAAGAUUCUAGUUAGAAUUUUGUACUUGAACUCUGUUUGUUUUAGGGCCUUUUAAAACAAAUAUACCUUCCACUAUUUCCUCGAAUCUCUCACACUCCUCUGGUAGAGAAACGAAAACCUUGCGACUCUAGGUUGCAAGUGGGGUGCUACGGUCCCACCAAUUUACAUGCCACCUCACCUAACAAUUAUUGGCAACACAUAAAAGGAUGAGUGUAUAACUCUUGUACAAUGCUUCUCAAGCAAAUUGCAGCGCUAUCCGAUCUAUAAGUCCUGAAAGCCUCACCUAAUAGUUAUUGGCCCCAUUCCUUAGUUAAGUCAGACCCACCGUAUAACCGCAGAAGCAAAGCCGUCAUUGAGUCCCUCACCUAACAGUUAUUGGGCCCAAUCCCAUCUUUACCCCUACAACAUCUCAUGCCUAAUAGAGAGGUCUGGUCCCCCGAUGCAACUUGCCCACUGUAUCCAGCCGAGACAAAUCAACGCCGGAAAGAUCUUAGCAGCUCUACUACAGUGGAAGACCGCUAGACUUAAUAUUUUUGAGAAGAUUUAAUUUAGGUCUCUUUCAUUUAAUUAUCUACAUCUCAUGCAAAUAAUUAUCUACCCGCUAUGCAUAAACAUAAACAUAAACAAUAAGGCAUAAUCACAAAAUAAUUGGUGAUGAUCAUGGAUCCAGGAUGGGGUCAUAGUACAAGCACAUGCACGUCAAUUGGUUAGAUCGUUUUCAACUCUUGACUCGAUCUUGAGCACCCUUGGUCCAAUUGCAAUCAACUUCUUGAUCCAUCUCCAAUCAACCCUUGAUCUCGAUCCGCGCAAAUCGUGCUUGUGCGGCAUGCACCGAUCAACCAUUGACAUGCAAACACAUCACAGAUUACAUCUCAGAUAAUUUUAAAAAUAAAUAAAAUUAAAUAAUAGUUACAACCCUUUUUCAUGAGACACGUAGGUCUCUAAUACAUCAAUAUAAGAUGCACGCAGGCAUCUGAAAAUCUGAUUUACAUGCCAUCACAUAACAUCACAGAACAUUUCAGACAUUGCAGAACAUUUCAGCAUAAUUAAAGGAUCCAUCCAUGAUCAUCACCAUACGCAUCUCAUGCAUUAAAUAUAAUUUAUAGAUUUGAAUAUUUAACAGAUUAUGUCAUCUUAUGAGUUGCUGAUCAUGUAAGAUAUGAUUCUAAAUACUUGUAAUCACAUUAACAAAGCAAUAGAAUUAUUAAUCUAAUCACAUAAAAAUCAGC
rnacentral:lncRNA from 1 species